ACGGCCGCGGUACCCUAACCGUGCAAAGGUAGCAUAAUCAUUUGUCUACUAAUUAUAGACCUGUAUGAAAGGCAAAAUGAGGGUCUAACUGUCUCUUAUAGUAAAUCAAUUAAACUGAUCUCCUAGUAAAAAAGCUAGAAUUUUAACAUAAGACCAGAAGACCCUGUGAAGCUUAAACUAAACUAUUAAAACUAAUAAUAACUACUUUCGGUUGGGGCGACCUUGGAAAAAAAAAGAACUUCCAAACACUAUGAUAUAAUCAUACACAACAGGCCAACAAGCCACCUACGACCCAGCAUAGCUGAAAAUUGAAACAAGUUACUCCAGGGAUAACAGCGCAAUCUUCUUCAAGAGCCCAUAUCAAAAAGAAGGUUUACGACCUCGAUGUUGGAUCAGGACAUCCUAAUGGUGCAGCAGCUAUUAAGGGUUCGUUUGUUCAACGAUUAACAGUCCUACGUGAUCUGA
rnacentral:rRNA from 1 species